GCCUUGUUAGCACAGUAGGUAGCACAUCAGUCUCAUAAUCUGAAGGUUAUGAGUUUGAUCCUUACACGGGACA
rnacentral:tRNA from 1 species